rnacentral:rRNA from 1 species
UACAGAGGUCUCAAGCGUUGUUCGGAUUACAUUGGGCGUAAAGGGUGCGUAGGCGGCGCGGUAAGUCGGGUGUGAAAUCUCGGGGCUUAACUCCGAAACUGCAUUCGAUACUGCCGUGCUUGAGGACUGGAGAGGAGACUGGAAAUUUACGGUGUAGCGGUGAAAUGCGUAGAUAUCGUAAGGAAGACCAGUGGCGAAGGCGGGUCUCUGGACAGUUCCUGACGCUGAGGCACGAAGGUCAGGGGAGCAAACGGG